CUGUGGGUGCUAUACUUAACUCUUAAUUCAUGAUUAACAUGAUUAUUUUCUAGUUAUCACUUCUCUUUGAUUUAAUUAACAACUGGUGUGAUUCUUUUUCGUCUUGACAGUAGCCUAUUAAUACCUUGGAUCCUAAAUUCAGUCUUAGAGACUUAAAAGCCAGCCUUUCGAUGAGAGACGAUUAUGAGUGUUCUGUAGGCUGGUGACCUUAAAGCAACUCUUUGCAAGGCUACAUAAAUUAUUGAUUAUAAAAUAGCUAGGGUGGUUCUCCAACUACAAACACAGCUAAAGCACAAGAGUAAUAAAAUGCACCAUCACAAAAAUGAAUUGUACUGCUCCAUAAAACCUCACAUAAAACCUUAACUCGCAUUCCCAUCUUACAGGAUGGAAGGAGAGGCCGUCGCUGAGAUUUUAAAAGAUUUAUUCUCCAUCCAAUUUAUUUUCCUGUUUUGGACCUUUCCAUUCUAUACAGAACUGGGCAAGGCUAUUCAGAGACUUGAGCUAGUUCGUCUCCGAUAUCCUGUGCCUUCAUGCAGGGGCUCUUCAUUCUUACCAACGAAGCAUCGUGUAGCACGGUGAGGAAGAACCUCCAGAGACAACAUGGUCAUUACCCAAGCCGGCAAAACCACCACCACCAACAAAAACAAAUAGGGUAUCCGGAAGUUUUCCAGUUGUGGGUACGGCUGGGGAGACUGACUCAAGGGCUGGAACAGGACACCUUCCGGACUUUACAAAGCACAUCCCAGAUGAACAAGCUGUACCGAAGGAAGCAUUGGCCCUGCUGAUGAGCUAUUCCACCCCUGCUACAACCCUGGGCACUGCCACCAUGCUGGCUACCUCUGGCAUUAAGGUCUGCGGGCCAGGCAGAAGCGAGGGUCGGCCACAGCUCAAAAAGAUGCAUUUCCCUCUGCCUUUGAUUGUGAAGCUCAGCACCUCCCUCGUAUUCACCAAACACUCAAGGAGAUAAUGUCACGCUAUUGGAACGUCUGUAAAUAUCCGAAAAGGAUAACGAGCUCCUUCGCUCCCUCUUAGCCCAGGGGUCAUGUGAGUUUUCAGCGUGCUGAAGUUGCUCAGUGCGGCAUCCUAUUGCGUCCUCCGCGCUGUCCUUAUUGCGUUCCUCCCCUGAAAACGCCAACCGCUAGCUUCUUUGGAAAGCGGGGCCUCCUGCUACUACCUCGGUGCUCCUAACCUCGGGAGCCUCUGCUUUACCCUUUUCUAGAACAACUUGUCACUUGCUAAGCUGCUGCCUAAUAUAAUUUUCGGUACUGUGCAAAUGUUUUUCUCUCUCUCUCAUUCUAUUAAAGACCGAGCUCAUUAUCUGUUUGGUUCACUGAAGUCCUGAGAACCUCAAGCAAUACCUGGGCUAGUGUAAAGAGGCCAUUGUUGCAUGUUAAUGAAUAAGCUUCUAGAAACCUCUGAGGCCGGCUGUAACAGAGGAGACCCCGAGACCCAUGCAGAGGCUGGGUGGGCUUCUCUCUGUGUGCUGCCGAACUCCUGCUCGGUGGCCCCUUUCACCUAAAAAUCCUGCCUUUCCAAAGCCUCUUAAAAUUUGGUCACAGCAAGACUCCAAUGGCUCCUCGCAGCUUCACACACUGCAAUCUCUCCGAGUAAUUGCAUCUUAACAAGGAAUGGAGUCCCCAGCUAAAGGAAUACAGUUUUAAUUGCAAAAAAUUCCACCGUUUUGUCUUCACCCACGGCCCGUAUAUUCUAGCAGGAGGUAACUUUGGCUUAAUGAAGAGGAGGCUCAGUGUUUCUGGCGUUCCUAAUGUAUGACUCUGUUGUGAACAGAGGCUCCGGGCCACCUUCAUGAAGGUCUGGGCCCGCCAUCAUGAGCUCCGGGACACCUUCAUGAUAAUUUGCUUUUGCUUUCUUCUUCCUGGGAAAUCUUUGACUCAUCAUCAUCUUCAUCGUCGUCGUCAUCACCAGCAUCCCGUGAAAUAUGGCAUUGAAUGAUUUUAAAUUUCCUGCCCAAAUACAGUAAAACCGUGCCCAUCUGCAAGUCAUAGCUGGAAACCACAGUACCCUGGAACUGAGUCAGAAAAUGGGUCCUGGCUGUUUGAAACCACCUUAUCAAAGCGUCUUUUCGAGUCCUUGUUUUCUUGCUGUCUUUUACUCUCUGGCCGGCCAGGGCCCUCAGUGGAGAUCCUCUGGCACGGUCUGGGUAUUAGAAACUGAUGAGGAGGGGCAACUGAGCCCUGGGGGCGGGGGUGGGAUGGGGAGGCUGUAGGCAGAGGAGAGGAGGACUGAGGGAAACACAUGCCUGCACUAUUGUAUUCUAGCUAAUACUGUUACGACAUUUUAAAAAGUCCAGUUCAUUGGAGAACAUCUUCGUGCUACUGUUACACUGGAUUUACUGUUUGGCUUCAUAUAAGACUUUAAAAGCUUUGUCUUCACCCAUGAUUUUAAUCCUUGGUCAUACUAAAAUAUCACAGAAGAAUCUUUAGAAAUACAGAAUAUUUUUCUGUGCUUAUUGUUCAGAAAUUCCUAAUUGAUGAGCAUUAAUGUGAGUUUUUCGAGAUGUUUUUAAAAAAUUAUUUUUUUUUUUUGUCAACUAUCACAUACUUGUAAUCUCAAGAGUCAGAAGGCUCAGACAGGAAGACUGCAAGUUCAAGUCCAGUCCGGGCACGUAGUUAGACUCUCUUUCUAAAACCUAACAACAACAACAACAACAAAAAAAAAACCAGUAAAAGUUAUUUGAGUGUAAAUAUUCAAACAGUUCUUUUAAACUUUGAUUCUUCACUUGAGGAAUUUUCUUGUAUUUUUUUUUCUUGCGUUUGUUUCCAGCCAGUGAAUCUCUCACAACAAUUCAAUUCACAUGAUCAGUACCUGUUUUAAAAUAUAAUCUUGGUGCAAACCAAUGAAACAGAUUAAUGUCUUGCUCACCCACCAUCAGAAAAGCUUCCUCCUGCAGCAGAUAGGACCAAAUACAGAGACCCGCUGCCAGGCAAUAUACACAGAGUGAGAGACCUUGGAAGCAGAAAGUCUCCGCUAAUUUCCUCCCCUCAGGGCUGAGGGAACUCAUCAGAGAGGAGGUGGAAACGGUGCAAAAGCCAGACAGGAGGGAGGAAACCAAGGAAACAAGGCCCUCUAAAUCAACAAGAACUACGCUCAGGGCCUGCAAGGGUUUGUACCAGUUGGGUGUCCCUGAGCUGAAAGAAGUGGAUACACGUCUCCAUCCCUAAGCCAGCAGCUAGCUCUGUUGUUACUUGUUUCUUUAACUCUUUAGCUCUUAGGUCUUUAGGGUGCCUGCCACCCAGCUCCCAAAUAAAUCUCACACAGAGGCUUAUUACUACUUAUAAACACCUGGUCUUAGCUUGGCUUGAGUCUAGCCAGCUUUCCUUAAUUUAAAUGAUUUCAUCUGCAUUUUGCCUCUGGGCUUUUCUCUUUUCUCUCUUCUGUAAUCUUACUUUCACUCCUACUCUGUGGCUGACUGUGUUGCUGGGUGACUGGCCCCUAGUGUCCUCCUCUCCUUGUCCUCUUGUUCCUCUAUCUUGAUCUUCCUCCUCUCCCAGAUUUCUCCUAUUUAUUCUCUUUGCCACCCAGCCCUGCCUAUCCUUUCUCCUGCUUUGCUAUUGGCCAUUUAGCUCUCUAUUAGGCCAACCAGGUGUUUUAGGCAGGCAAAGUAACACAGCUUUACAGAGUUAAACAAAUGCGACAUAAUAGAACACAAUGCAUCUUUGCAUCAAUAAAAUGGAUGUUCCACAGCAUCAACAAACGUAAUACAUCUUAAAAUGAUAUUCCACAACUUAGCUCAACCUGAUAACCACUGGGCAAAUAAACCACUCUUAAGAGUAGGCUGAAUGCCCAGCAGUAAGUAGAUGGCCAACAACAUAUGAACUCAACGGCAUCUUUGGAGAUUCUUUGUAUCAUAAUGUUGUGUCCUAGAUCUUUUUCUUCAUUUUGUCUUAUCAUUUUAGUUUUAAUUUUGUUUUAUUUAUGUACUUUUCUUCUUUCUUUUUACCCCACAGGUCCUUUGUGUGUGUGCACAUGUGCAUACAUAUCACACACACACACACAAUGUCUUAGUUUAGUGUUUUUAUGAGAUUCCCGAGUAUGGGAAUGAGUGAAUUUCUUUUUCUUGUGCCAUCUCUUGGGCUCUUUUCCUCCUGUUGAUGUGUUUUGUCCAAUUCCAAUGUGUUAGUUCUGUUUGUAUCUUUAUACAAAGAUACAUUGUAACCCUCUAGAGGCCUGUUUGUUUUCUAGUGAGAGACUUAAAGGAGGUGGUUCUGCAUGAGAGGGAAGGUGGGAAGGAGCUGGGAGGAGUAAAAGGAAGGAAAACUGAAAUCAGG